rnacentral:rRNA from 1 species
GCGGUUAAAACGCUCGUAGUUGGGUUUCUGUCGGACGCAUCAGGUCUGCCCAAGCGGCGAGUACUUGUUCUGUGUCUGGCAUCUUCUUGGGGAACGGGUGCGCACUUCAUUGUGUGGCUCGGAAACCUUGACGUUUACUUUGAGGAAAUGAGAGUGCUUCAAGCGGGUGUCCGCCACGAAUACGUUAGCAUGGAAUAUUACCAUUGGACCUCGGUUCAUGGCUGUUGGUUGCUCGAACCGAGGUGAGGACAGACGGGAACAGUUGGGGGCAUUCAUAUUGAACUGUCAGAGGUGAAAUUCUUGGAUUUGUUCAAGAUGAACUACAGCGAAAGCAUUUGCCAAAGAUGUUUUCAUCGAUCAAGAACGAAAGUCAGGGGAUCGAAGACGAUCAGAUACCGUCGUAGUCUUGACCAUAAACUAUGCCGACUAGAGAUUGGGGGUUGUUGCUUACCCGACGCCUCCAGCAUCUUGAGAGAAAUCAAAGUCUUUGGGUUCCGGGGGGAGUAUAGUCGCAAGAACGAAACUUAAAGGAAUUGACGGAAGGGCACCACCAGGAGUGGAGCCUGCGGCUUAAUUUGACUCAACACGGGAAAAACUUACCA